UACGUCGGUGGCAAGCGUUGUCCGGAAUUAUUGGGCGUAAAGCGCGCGCAGGCGGUCCUUUACGUCUGAUGUGAAAGCCCACGGCUCAACCGUGGAGGGUCAUUGGAAACUGGGGGACUUGAGUACAGAAGAGGAAAGCGGAAUUCCACGUGUAGCGGUGAAAUGCGUAGAGAUGUGGAGGAACACCAGUGGCGAAGGCGGCUUUCUGGUCUGUAACUGACGCUGAGGCGCGAAAGCGUGGGGAGCAAACAGG
rnacentral:rRNA from 1 species